GCAGAGUAGGAUAAACGCGUUAAGUGCCGCAAAACGGGAUGUUGUUUGCGGACGAAAGCCGAAAGGCUGCGGUGUUUAUCCGCGUCCGUUG
rnacentral:ncRNA from 1 species